AUACGGAGGGUGCAAGCGUUAUCCGGAUUCGUUGGGUUUAAAGGGUGCGCAGGCGGACUUGUAAGUCAGUGGUGAAAUCCCGGGGCUCAACCUCGGAACUGCCAUUGAUACUGCAAGUCUUGAGUUUGGUUGAAGUGGGCGGAAUGUAGCAUGUAGCGGUGAAAUGCAUAGAUAUGCUACAGAACACCGAUCGCGAAGGCAGCUCACUAAACCAACACUGACGCUCAGGCACGAAAGCGUGGGGAGCGAACAGGAUUAGAAACCCUGGUAGUCC
rnacentral:rRNA from 1 species